GACGAACGCUGGCGGCGUGCUUAACACAUGCAAGUCGAACGGAAAGGCCCUGCUUUUGUGGGGUGCUCGAGUGGCGAACGGGUGAGUAACACGUGAGUAACCUGCCCUUGAUUUUGGGAUAACUUCAGGAAACUGGGGCUAAUACCGGAUAGGAGCUCCUGCUGCAUGGUGGGGGUUGGAAAGUUUCGGCGGUUGGGGAUGGACUCGCGGCUUAUCAGCUUGUUGGUGGGGUAGUGGCUUACCAAGGCUUUGACGGGUAGCAGGCCUGUGAGGGUGACCAGCUUCCUUGGGACUGAGAUACGGCUCAGACUCCUACGGGAGGCAGCAGUGGGGAAUAUUGCACAAUGGGCGGAAGCCUGAUGCAGCAACGCCGCGUGCGGGAUGACGGCCUUCGGGUUGUAAACCGCUUUCGCCUGUGACGAAGCGUGAGUGACGGUAAUGGGUAAAGAAGCACCGGCUAACUACGUG
rnacentral:rRNA from 1 species